UGAGGAAUAUUGGUCAAUGGGCGAGAGCCUGAACCAGCCAAGUCGCGUGAGGGAAGACGGCCCUAUGGGUUGUAAACCUCUUUUUGCCGGGGAGCAAAGAACCGCACGUGUGCGGUUCUGGAGAGUACCCGGAGAAAAAGCAUCGGCUAACUCCGUGCC
rnacentral:rRNA from 1 species